UUUCUGCUACAGCUCAACAGUUGCUCAGAGCAUGGUGCUGACAACACCAAGGUUGCAGGUUCGAUCCCCGUAUGGGACA